rnacentral:lncRNA from 1 species
CCAGUGCUUCUUCCUCCACACCUCCCUGCAAGCUGAGGGAGCCGGCUCCCGCCUUGGCCAGCCCAGAAAGGGGCUCCCACAGUGCAGCGGCGGGCUGAAGGGCUCCUUAAGCACAGCCAGAGUGGGCACCGAGGCCGAGGAGGCACCGAGAGCGAGCGAGGACUUCGAGGGCUGCCAGUACGCUGUCACCUGUCAACAUCACUAGUAACAACAGGCAAGUUUCUGCAGCAGCGACUCCCUCCAGAGGCUCCGUGAACCGAGGGAAGGGAGUAGGAACACCAAAUACGGAUCCGUUCAAAUAACCAAAUGGCAGGGAGAGGCAGCAAAGUUUGGGCAGGAAGAUGAAAAGGAUUGGAGAUGUUUUCAAGAAUGGUUGAAUAGAUUCAUUCUAUUUCUCCGUCUCCUCCCCACCCGCCUCCCACUCGGUCCUCUCCGUGCUCCACUGCCCCCUCUCUCCGCCCCGUCUUCCUUCCAGAGCUGUGCCCGCAGCGAUCUUAGAGUGCGCAGAAACGGCAGUCCCCGCGAAGGCAAAGGCUCCAGCACCGUCAAAGCGUUUAGUUUCUACUGGACUGGUUGAGAAUACAUCCUGAAGUCCAAAGAUGCCCACGCUGACGUUAAGCCUGAAUUUUGUUGCCCCGAUUGCCGCAGCUGACUCUAGCAGAAGCCCAGUCAAGGGGGCGGCCCCUCACCUCUCGGCGAGUUGAUAUGCAAAAUAGUUACGUCAGAUGGUGGGGGCGGGGCACCCCCGGGUUGAGUGGCAGCAGCUCCU